rnacentral:rRNA from 1 species
AUUGAACGCUGGCGGCAGGCUUAACACAUGCAAGUCGAGCGGAGAUGAGGUGCUUGCACCUUAUCUUAGCGGCGGACGGGUGAGUAAUGCUUAGGAAUCUGCCUAUUAGUGGGGGACAACAUUCCGAAAGGAAUGCUAAUACCGCAUACGUCCUACGGGAGAAAGCAGGGGAUCUUCGGACCUUGCGCUAAUAGAUGAGCCUAAGUCGGAUUAGCUAGUUGGUGGGGUAAAGGCCUACCAAGGCGACGAUCUGUAGCGGAUCUGAGAGGAUGACCCGCCACGCUGGGACUGCGACACGGCCCGGACUCCUACGGGAGGCAGCAGUGGGGAAUAUUGGACAAUGGGGGGAACCCUGAUCUAGCCAUGCCGCGUGUGUGAAGAAGGCCUUAUGGUUGUAAAGCACUUUAAGCGAGGAGGAGGCUACUGAGACUAAUACUCUUGGAUAGUGGACGUUACUCGCAGAAUAAGCACCGGCUAACUCUGUGCCAGCCGCCGCCGUAACAC